CCUACGGGUGACAGCAGUGGGGAAUAUUGGACAAUGGGGGGAACCCUGAUCCAGCGACGCCGCGUGAGUGAAGAAGUAUUUCGGUAUGUAAAGCUCGAUCAGCAGGGAAGCAAGAACUGACGGUACCUGACUAAGAAGCCCCGUCUAACUACAGGCCAGCAGCCGCUGUAAUACGUAGGGCGCAAGCGUUAUCCGGAUUUACUGGGUGUAAAGGGAGCGUAGACGGCGAUGUAAGUCUGCAGUGAAAGGCGGGGGCCCAACCUCCGGACUGCUUUGGAAACUGUAUGGCUGGAGGGGAGGAGAGGUAAGUGGAAUUCGGAGUGUAGCGGUGAAAUGCGUAGAUAUUAGGAGGAACACCAGUGGCGAAGGCGGCUUACUGGACGGGAACUGACGUUGAGGCUCGAAAGCGUGGGGAGCGAACAGGAUUAGAUACCCGGGUAGUC
rnacentral:rRNA from 1 species